AGAGUUUGAUCAUGGCUCAGAAUCAACGCUGGCGGCGCGCUUAACACAUGCAAGUCGAACGAGAAAGGGGAGCAAUCCCUGAGUACAGUGGCGUACGGGUGAGUAACACGUGGAUCAUCUACCUCUUGGUGGGGAAUACCUCUGGGAAACCGGAGACAAUACCGCAUAAGCUCGUGAGAGGAAAGCAGUAAUGCGCCGAGAGAGGAGUCCGCGGCUGAUUAGCUAGAUGGCGGGGUAACGGCCCACCAUGGCGAAGAUCGGUAGCCGGCCUGAGAGGGCACACGGCCACACUGGCACUGAAACACGGGCCAGACUCCUACGGGAGGCAGCAGUGGGGAAUCUUGCACAAUGGGGGAAACCCUGAUGCAGCGACGCCGCGUGAGCGAUGAAGCCCCUCGGGGUGUAAAGCUCUUUCGACGGGAACGAUAAUGACGGUACCCGAAGAAGAAGCUGCAGCUAACUACGUGCCAGCAGCCGCGGUAAUACGUAGGCAGCGAGCGUUGUUCGGAAUUACUGGGCGUAAAGAGUGUGUAGGCGGUGCUCCAAGUCUGGUGUGAAAUUUCCCGGCUCAACUGGGAGGGUGCGCCGGAAACUGGAGUGCUCGAGUGUGGGAGAGGAAAGCGGAAUUCCUGGUGUAGCGGUGAAAUGCGUAGAUAUCAGGAGGAACACCUGCGGUGUAGACAGCUUUCUGGACCACGACUGACGCUGAGACACGAAAGCGUGGGUAGCAAACAGGAUUAGAUACCCUGGUAGUCCACGCCCUAAACGAUGCAUACUUGGUGUGAGUCAUUCAUUUGAUUCGUGCCGGAGCUAACGCGUUAAGUAUGCCGCCUGGGGAGUACGGUCGCAAGGCUGAAACUCAAAGGAAUUGACGGGGCCCGCACAAGCGGUGGAGCAUGUGGUUCAAUUCGACGCAACGCGAAGAACCUUACCUGGGCUC
rnacentral:rRNA from 1 species